rnacentral:rRNA from 1 species
CUACGGGUUGCUCCAGUGGGGAAUAUUGGACAAUGGGCGCAAGCCUGAUCCAGCAAUACCGCGUGUGUGAAGAAGGCCCGAGGGUUGUAAAGCACUUUCAGUAGGGAGGAUUGAUUUUACGGAUAAUACCCGUGAAGUUUGACGUUACCUACAGAAGAAGCACCGGCUAACUCAGUGCCAGCAGCCGCGGUAAUACUGAGGGUGCAAGCGUUAAUCGGAAUUACUGGGCGUAAAGCGCGCGUAGGUGGUUAGAUCAGUUGGGUGUGAAAGCCCCGGGCUCAACCUGGGAACUGCAUUCAAUACUGUCUAGCUAGAGUACGGUAGAGGGAAGUGGAAUUCCGCAUGUAGCGGUGAAAUGCGUAGAGAUGCGGAGGAACACCAGUGGCGAAGGCGACUUCCUGGACCGAUACUGACACUGAGGUGCGAAAGCGUGGGGAGCAAACAGGAUUAGAUACCCGCGUAGUC